AGCUUUGCACAGUGGCGGUAUCAGCCAGUGAGGUCUAUCCGAGGCAUGAUUAUUGCUAAUUGAAAACUUUUCCUAAAGCAA
rnacentral:snRNA from 1 species